AGAUGUGCUGACGUGCAAAUCGCUUUUCGGACUUGGGUAUAGGGGCGAAAGACUAAUCGAACCAUUGAGUUUCCACUAGGUGGUUAACAGUGCCGCCUGAGAAGGCGGGCGCUAGUCGGCCUAGUAAGCCGGCAAGAUCGUCAAAGUGCGGGGACACGUUGCUACUCCUUCGGUAGGGCUCCUGGGUCGAAAGGCUCCAGCGGGCACCCGGGCUAACUCCCCGUGGGUAUCCUAACAACCUGAAGGCUAGACGCAAUCCGCAGCCAAGUCCUAAGUCGGGCGAGCAGCCCGGUAUGGAUGCAGUUCACAGACCAGAUGUCGAUCGGGGAGAUUCCCUUAAGAUAUGGUCGGGCCCCACCGAGAGGUGGCCGCAUGGAGGAAGGUCCGCUCAGGACCUGAGAGCCAUGUGGGACGACUCCUGCCCCGGCACAGGAGACGUCGGAACAGCCGCUAGUAGCUGGUUCCCUCCGAAGUGUCCCCCAGGACAGCUGGAACUCGUCUCAGUUUUGUCAGGUAAAGCGAAUGAUUAGAGGUUCGGGGAGCUCAAAGUUCUCCACCUAUUCUCAAACUUUAAAUAGGCAAGACGUCGGGGUCGCUUGAUUGGACCCCGGCCUUCAAUGAGAGCUCCAAGUGGGCCAUUUUUGGAAGCAGAACUGGCGAUGCGGGAUGAACCGAAAGCCGGCCUAAGGUGCCAAACUACUCGCUAACCUAGAUCCCACAAAGGGUGUUGUUUGAUACAGACAGCCGGACGGUGGUCAUGGAAGUCGAAACCCGCUAAGGAGUGUGUAACAACUCACCGGCCGAAUCAAAUAGCCCCGAAAAAUGGAUGGCGCUGAAGCGAGUGACCGAUGGCCGGCCAUGGCAGGCAAGUGCGAAGCCGCCAUGAGUAGGAGGCGUGGGCGUCGUG
rnacentral:ncRNA from 1 species